rnacentral:rRNA from 1 species
AUGAUUGGGAAGGCAGCUAGGGAGGGUGUGCUCUCUUCCUUCUCGGGCAUCAAAGAUACACAGAGGCUUUCCAUCUUUGCUGAAGAUGUGGCCCUGUUCAUCCGGCCAUCUGUGCCUGACCUGGCAUGUGUGAGAGAGGCACUAAAUAUAUUUGGGUUAGCAUCAGGACUUAGAAUCAACUACAGGAAGACUUCUGCCAUUUUAAUUCGAGGAGAUCCAGAGGAUAAGGAAAGGGUGAUAAGCUUCCUAAACUGUCAAUCUGGAAGUUUUCCAUGCAAAUAUCUCGGAUUGCCACUCGCCAUAAACCAGCUUACGAGGACUGAUUGGCAACCGCUGCUAGAUCAGGUUAAGCAAUUUAUCCCAGCAUGGCAGCGAGGACUUAUUCAGAGACCAGGCAGAUUAAUCCUCGUCAAGAGUGUCAUAGCAGCUAGACCAAUACACCAUUUGCUCGUUCUAAACCCACCACUCUGGGUGUUUGAAGAAAUCAAUACUUGGAUGCAAUCUUUUUUCUGGGCUGGAAAAGACAGAACCAACGGAGGACAAUGCCCGGUUGCUUGGAACACCAUUUGCAAACCUACAAAGUUCGGAGGCCUUGGAGUCAAAAACUUACAACUGCAAGCACUUGCUCUUCGUGUUCGCUGGGAAUGGCUACGUUGCACUGACGCUGAGAGGCCGUGGCAUGGACUGACAAAUGACAUUGAUGAGGAGGCAAGAGCUAUGUUUGAUAGCACCAUCCACAUAACAGCAGGUAAAGGGGACAAGGUGCUCUUUUGGUCUGAUCGAUGGAUUCAAGGU